UUUUGGACAAUGGGCGAAAGCCUGAUCCAGCAAUGCCGCGUGCAGGAAGAAGGCCUUCGGGUUGUAAACUGCUUUUGUACGGAACGAAACGGCCCUUUCUAAUAAAGAGGGCUAAUGACGGUACCGUAAGAAUAAGCACCGGCUAACUACGUGCCAGCAGCCGCGGUAAUACGUAGGGUGCGAGCGUUAAUCGGAAUUACUGGGCGUAAAGCGUGCGCAGGCGGUUCUAUAAGACAGAUGUGAAAUCCCCGGGCUCAACCUGGGAAUGGCAUUUGUGACUGUAGAGCUAGAGUACGGUAGAGGGGGAUGGAAUUCCGCGUGUAGCAGUGAAAUGCGUAGAUAUGCGGAGGAACACCGAUGGCGAAGGCAAUCCCCUGACCUGUACUGACGCUCAUGCACGAAG
rnacentral:rRNA from 1 species